AUGAGGAUCACCAAACAAUGCAACCUACCACUUUCUUGGGGUAAGCAUUAUCGCUCAAAUGUGUUGUGUGAUGUGGUUGACAUGGAAGCCAGCCAUGUUCUUCUUGGGAGACCUUGGCAAUUUGAUGUGGAUACUACACACAAGGGCAAGGAAAAUUCUUACUCUUUCAUUUGGAACAAGAGAAGGAUCAUUAUCUUACCAAAAAAACUCGAAGGUAAUACCUCUAAGGAGGAGGGGAAAACUAUGUUAACUAUCUCCCAUACCUCUAAUGAGUUUAUGGAAGACUUAAAGGAGGCAGAUUUGUGUGUUGCACUUGUUGUAAAGGGAGAAGAGAACCUGACUGUUGAAAUUCUAGCAAAGGUACAUGGUUUAUUGGCAGAAUUACAGAACAUACUUGGGGAGCCACAUGGCUUCCCACCGAUGAGAGGAAUUCAACAUAGAAUUGACUUAAUUCCGGGAGCAAGUCUUCCUAAUCUUCCACACUAUUGA
rnacentral:rRNA from 1 species